rnacentral:rRNA from 1 species
UAUUGGUCAAAGGCCUGACCGGCUGAACCAGCAACUUGGAGGAAUGUAUAGAGAAAUCUACUUAUAUUAGCGAUUAAUAUGAGAUUAACUAAGUUAAUUAAAAUUCUAUGUAAAUAUCUGAUUAUGACAGUAUUUGCUUAUGUCUUGACCAAAACACGUGCCAGCAGUCGCGGUAAGACGUGAAAGAUAAGUGUUAUUCAUCUUUAACAGGUUUAAAGGGUACCUAGACGGUUAAUUAAACACUUCUAUGUAUUAAUUGACUAGAGUUUGAUGUGAGAGGGAUUGAGUACGGUGGUGGAGAGAUAAAAUUCUGAUACUGCUAUGGAACUGGUUAAGGCGAAGGCAACCUUCUAUGUAAAAACUGACGUUGAGACACGAAGGAA